CCCAGACUCCUACGGGAGGCAGCAGUGGGGAAUAUUGGGCAAUGGGCGCAAGCCUGACCCAGCAACGCCGCGUGAAGGAAGAAGGCUUUCGGGUUGUAAACUUCUUUUAUUGAGGACGAAACAAAUGACGGUACUCAAUGAAUAAGCCACGGCUAACUACGUGCCAGCAGCCGCGGUAAUACGUAGGUGGCAAGCGUUAUCCGGAUUUACUGGGUGUAAAGGGCGUGUAGGCGGGACUGCAAGUCAGAUGUGAAACCCAUGGGCUCAACCCAUGGCCUGCAUUUGAAACUGUUUUUCUUGAGUACUGGAGAGGCAGACGGAAUUCCUAGUGUAGCGGUGAAAUGCGUAGAUAUUAGGAGGAACACCAGUGGCGAAGGCGGUCUGCUGGACAGCAACUGACGCUGAGGCGCGAAAGCGUGGGGAGCAAACAGGAUUAGAUACCCCGGUAAA
rnacentral:rRNA from 1 species